ACCCUUGCCUUGGAAGUGUUGUUUGCGAAGUUCUUGCGAGUUCUUUCGUGGGUGUGAGAAGUUCGUGACAGAAAUGCCAUAGCCUUGGAGGUUUUUGCGGUCGAUCAAGUCCUCCGCCUUUGUCUCUGUGUCGAUUAUCGGAGCUGGGCUCCCUUUUUUUUUCUUUCUUGAUGAAUGGUUUUUUCCUGGAAAACAGUGCAGACUGCUGCAUCGACUGAAUAGUUCUCGCCCACCGAUCGAGACAAACAAAGUUUUUAUGUCGGAGAAACUUUCACAGUCGCUCAGGAGCUUUUCUUUAUUUUCGCUGUUCAUCCUCUUUCUGUGAUGACUACUGCUUUCCUUUUGCUAAUGGCAGUCCUGUGCUUUUGUCUGCAGCUUCAAUCAUUUUGAGAACAUCUCCAUUGCCUCUGGAUGUUUUCUAAGAAGUAGCAACCACAGUUUGUGAUGGGAUCUCUCGAUCUCGAUCAGUCGUUCGAGCGGCUCGGGGAUUCUUUCAGGUGUCUCAGCCUGGACGCGCGCAAGGAAUUUAGCCUCGUGAACUCGGUGAAGCUCGUCAUCGAGGACUUCCAUUCGGAGGGCUCUCAGGAAGACAACGCUAGUGGCAGCAAACCAGGAGAUUCUCUCGGAGCUCUCGAAGGAGAGCUCAUUCUACUCAAGGCAGCUUUUGCUCUGUCGAAUGUUAACAGAAGGCUGAGCCUCGGCAAGCUACUCGAUCUCCAAGGGAAUGUACGAGUGUUUUGCAGAGUGAGGCCUUAUCUCCCUCACGAAAAUGUCGCCCAUGCCUGCGAGGUUGUCUCUCCGACCGAGGUUCGCGUCUCUUCCAACGGGGAGCCUUCCAAAACGUUCAAGUUUGAUAAAGUAUUUUCUCCCUCGGCCUCGCAAGAGGAUGUUUUUCUGGACGUGCAGCCGACUAUCAAGUCUGCUCUGGACGGCCACAACAUUUGUAUAUUCUCUUACGGCCAAACAGGCACUGGGAAGACUUACACAAUGGAAGGCCAGAAAGGAGCCCCUGGAAUUGUUCCUCGGACACUGCAGCAGCUUUUCAAGGACAAGAAUUUGCCAACCAGUGACUAUCGCUUCACUUUGAGCAUGUUGGAGAUUUACAAAGGAACACUGCGUGAUCUUCUGGUUCCUCGGCCGACGCGACUAACAGACCCUCCAGCAAAAAGCUUGAAUAUUCAUCUGAGCGUUUCGGAUCACGUAGAGGUCGAGAACCUGACGGAGUAUGUGAUAGACAAUCUCUCAGACGCUCUCAAGUUUUACAGGAAAGGUACUCGUGCCAGAUCCACUUCGUCCACAAGCUCAAAUGAAAGCUCCAGCAGAUCACACUGCUUGGUUCGAGUAAACAUUGUUCGCAAGUCCCAGUUAGAUAAAGUCUCGAGAAGCAAAGUGUGGCUUAUUGAUCUCGGUGGCAGCGAACGCUUCUUCAAAACCCAGGCAUGGGGUAAGGUUUUGGAGGAAGGCAAAUCCAUCAACGUCUCCCUCACUGCACUGGGAGACGUGAUCAGUGCUCUACAAAAAAAGCAAGCACACAUUCCUUACAGGAACAGCAAGCUGACGCAAAUUCUUCGGGAUUGCCUCGGAUGUAACUCCAAAGUUGUCAUGUUCGUCCAUGCAAGUCCCAGGGAGGAGGACUCGGCAGAGACCAUUUGUUCCUUGACGUUCGCAGCUAGAGCGCGAGGAAUUCACUUAAGUCGCGACUGUGCAGCAAAAUCCCGGGAGCGAGAAGCGCGGAUCUCCAGCAUCGUCCAGAAAAUGGAGGCUCUGGAAGGUGAGUGCCAGCGCCUAAGUGUCGAUAUCCAGGCUCUCGAGUCGACCAUCAACGAGAAGAAAAGAAACUCCACACGUUUCAGUGACGCUCAUCAGCUCCUCGAAAGCUCUGACCAUCGCAACGACAAGCUAACCUGUGCGGUUACGACGAAUCCAUCUCCAAGUACACCAUCUUUGCCGAGGUUUAUGACACCGACGAUAAGCAGCCUGUGCAAGAACCGGUGCGCGUUGCAAGAGUUCAACGAGCCAAUCUGGCCGGAAAGCCUGCUCGCCAAGAAGAUCAAGAGCUUCGCUAGCUCGGACUCUCCGCAGAUUUCCAUCGAUCUGGGAAGAAAACGCGCUAUAGUUCCCGCUUCUCGGCAAAGGAUUCAUCAUCCACAGCAGCAGCAGCAGCAGCAAGUAAGAAAUCCGGCUCUCAUGACUCCAAAUGGACAGGAGGAAGACUCGAGCACUCCAACAAAGGCUGCUCUAGCAUCCAGAUCUAGGAGCGCAGCUCAUGUGAAAUGGAGCAAAGAAGAGAUGGAGCAGCAACGAUCGUCGAGAACUAAGAUCCAGAGGCGGCUCACACUGGAGUGCUCUAGCCGAUUGAGCGUCAACUUCUGAUCAAGCAUAAGCUUAGGAAACUACGACCUUUCUCUAUAGUUUGUGCUCGAGUUUGUAAACGAGUUUUCUUGUGCUCAUGAUC